UGCGCUGGAGGCAAAAUUCCUAAAAAAAUUAUAAUAUGCACUGAUGGGGAUUUGAUCCCUGGACCUCUCAUUUGAAAAUAAGGUUGCUAGCCACUGCACUAAACUCUGUUACUAGCAUGAAAGGAAUUCGAAUGUAUAUCAACUAGCCAAGACGGGAACAAAUAUGAGCUGGUGCACCACAAAAGAAAAUGAAACAUAAAAUCUGGGGCGCACGGGAGUCGAACCGGGGACCUCCAUCACAGCAGUUGGCUGCGCUAGCCAACUCAGCUAGCCUACAACUCGUUGACACAACCAGUGCCCACUAUAGACAACAUGUCCUUGCUAGAACGGAUCUAGAGGAGACUGAAUUCAGAUCGGGAGGACUGCUCACAACGGGGAUGCAGAGGCCGACGGCGCGAUGCUUCGGCGAAGAUGGCGGACUCGGAGGCCGGGAAUGGAUAGGGGGGAACGGUCGGGUGCGGAUCCGGCUGGAAGGGCUACGACGGUGAGGUUCACGGUGACGAGACGGCAGCCAUGGGGCUCCUGCAGGUGCUGAUUCAGACAACUUCAGAGAAAAAAAAUUCAGAAAGAGGGGGAGAGCAGGGGAGGAAGAAGAAGAGGAGAGCGAGGCAUAGGGACCUGCUGCUGCAGCUGGUUGGUUCAUCGACGCAUCGGCUGAACGGGUGAGGAGAGCACGGGUCCAACCAUUCCCGGAGUCAGUCGGUGGCGGCGUGGUGCAGCUUGAGCAUCGGGCCCUGGUUGGAGCUCCUGCAGCACGAGAGGGAGCACAGGGUACGGUCAACAGCAAGUUGACUCAGCCGGCAGCGCGUGACGGCUUGAGAAACGAACGGGAAAGGCUCGGGAUGGGCAGAUCCCGGCUCGGGCCACCCAUUCCCGACGACGAGGGAUCUUGGGGAGGCGCGGACGGCGACCUCCAUCAAGGCGGCGACGGGUUCCUCUGCCCUUGUCAACGAGAGAAGAGAGAGCUUAGCAGAGAUGGGAGAAGAUAAAAGCAGAGAGGGUAAGGGAAGGAGAGGCUCCGACGUGCCGACCUGGGAGGUGGCCGAUGCCCAUGGCGAGGCUGCAGGGAGGCACCUGAGGUGGAGCCUGCCUCGCGAGUAGAGGAUCUCGGGAAGCUCGGGGUCGAUCCCCUGCUAGCGCCGCACGCUGCUUGGACGAGGUCGGGGUCACCGAUAGGCGCAGCUGGCGGAAGGGGUGCCGGUGCCCAACCGACACUAGCGGCGAGGUGCGCGCAGAUGGGGCCGCUGCUGCGUCCGUACUCUGCUGGCGGUGCUCCUCCGAAGAUGUUGCUGCAGUGCAACAGGGGGAGAGGAAUGAGACACAGCGAGCAGGAGGGAAGGGAGCAGAGGAACACAGGGAGGGGGGACGGAGAGGGACAUGGCCGACCUGGAGGCUGGGUGCUGCUACUGCGCGCGGAUGCCUGCGGGGAAGCGGCGGCUGCACGCGAGCGCUCUGUUGGGUGCGAACGUGCAACGAGGAGGAGGGGGGUUGGUCGGGAGGAGAUCCCGAGGGAGAUGGUGGCGGCGGCGCUGCGGGAAUUGGGGAGGGAAUGGAUGGGAC
rnacentral:lncRNA from 1 species